rnacentral:rRNA from 1 species
UUGACUGUACAAAGGUAGCAUAAUCAUUAGUCUUUUAAUAGAGGGCUGGAAUGAAAGGUUUAACGAGGAACUGACUGUCUCAUUUUAUUUGUUUUAAAAUUUAAUUUUUUAGUUAAAAAGCUAAAAUUUUAUUGGUAGACGAGAAGACCCUAUAGAGCUUUACAUUUAAUUAGUUAAAUAUUUUUAUAUUAAUAUUUUUAUUUGAUUUUAUGUUUUGUUGGGGUGACAAAAAUAUAUAUAUAACUUUUUUAUAUUAUUUACAUUGAUUUAUGAAUAUUAGAUCCAUUAUUAUUGAUUAUUAGAUUAAGUUACCUUAGGGAUAACAGCGUAAUAU